UGGGGAAUUUUGGACAAUGGGCGAAAGCCUGAUCCAGCCAUGCCGCGUGCAGGAUGAAGGCCUUCGGGUUGUAAACUGCUUUUGUACGGAACGAAAAGACUCCUUCUAAUAAAGGGGGUCCAUGACGGUACCGUAAGAAUAAGCACCGGCUAACUACGUGCCAGCAGCCGCGGUAAUACGUAGGGUGCAAGCGCUAAUCGGGAAUUACUGGGCGUAAAGCGUGCGCAGGCGGUUAUAUAAGACAGAUGUGAAAUCCCCGGGCUCAACCUGGGAACUGCAUUUGUGACUGUAUAGCUAGAGUACGGUAGAGGGGGAUGGAAUUCCGCGUGUAGCAGUGAAAUGCGUAGAUAUGCGGAGGAACACCGAUGGCGAAGGCAAUCCCCUGGACCUGUACUGACGCUCAUGCACGAAAGCGUGGGGAGCAAACAGGAUUAGAUACCCAAGUAGUCCCUGAGCGGGCUGGCAAGGCGCAU
rnacentral:rRNA from 1 species